rnacentral:rRNA from 1 species
CAGUAGCCGCGGUAAUACGAAGGGUGCAAGCGUUAAUCGGAAUUACUGGGCGUAAAGGGCGUGUAGGCGGCCUGGGGCGUCCCAUGUGAAAGGCCACGGCUCAACCGUGGAGGAGCGUGGGAUACGCUCAGGCUAGAGGGUGGGAGAGGGUGGUGGAAUUCCCGGAGUAGCGGUGAAAUGCGCAGAUACCGGGAGGAACGCCGAUGGCGAAGGCAGCCACCUGGUCCACUUCUGACGCUGAGGCGCGAAAGCGUGGGGAGCAAACCGGAUUAGAUACCCCCGUAGUCCCUGUCUCUUAUAC